GCGCCCAUAGCUCAGCUGGAUAGAGCGUCGGACUACGAAUCCGAAGGUCGCAAGUUCGAGUCUUGCUGGGCGCACCA
rnacentral:tRNA from 1 species